UGUAUGUAAUGUAUUUGAAUUCAGAGUAAAAAAGCCGUUGCAUCAAGUUUCAUCCUCCUGAAUACUCUCGUUUUCUCCUGCAAAUUUACAGUAUGGGCAUCCUUUUUUAACAUCUUUCGUCAAAGAAGUGGAUUCAAAGCACAUUGUGGCCUCGGUAUAUUGAUGUGAAACCAUGCAGAAAAUGCUACUCUCUCUCAACCUUGUGGAUGUUCCCUACUUCCCUAAGGAUCAGCAGCCUCUUGAAACAGUUGAAGCCAUUAUCGAAUUCCUUGCGUCUAUGUUUUCUGGAUCUGAAAGCAAAGCAUAAUGCCAGAGAUUCCACCCAAAAGCUAACCCAUGAGUCCAAGCUGAAGAGGAAUAUUUCCAAAUCGAUGGCUCCACUAAUCCGAUUGAAUUCCUUGCGUCUAUGUUCCCUGGAUCUGAAAGCAGUGCAUAAUGCCAGAGAUUCCACCCAAAAGCUAACCCAUGAGUCCAAGCUGAAGAGGAAUAUGUCCAAAAUUACAUGUAGAUCUACACUCACCCGAUAGUUAAACUGCUAGAAAAAAGGUUUUUUUUUCACUUCAUUAUAAUUUAUAGAGAGAGAUUGGGGGAGGGGGAGAGGUGAGGUGUAGCCACAAACCUGAAUGGCUAAGCUGUGGAACUGAAAUUCCCAUUCAUGUCACUUACAAUUUUAAUGAAUUACAGGGUGUACAAACUGACAUAAUAACAGUUUGAGUAAAAGAUUCCAGUAUUUUGCAUAUAUUUGUAAUUACUAUUUAUGAGGUUGACCUGUUUCACAAUGCUUAAAUGUAGUAGACUUGAUAUGCUCAGUCUCAUACUCACCCCCACCCCCCAUCCGCUUCUUAUCAGUUCUUAAAACCUGUUGCAAAUUAUAUAUAAGUUGGUAAUAGAGAAAAAUUGAGUGAGUUAAAUACAAUACAAAUCGAUUCCAUUAUUAAGCAACUAAGACUUGUUCAGAUACGGAACGUGAACCGCCAACAAUUUUCGAAAAUGAUGCAGUUUGGUUUUAUGUGUAAAGCGAAUGGCAACAAGUCUUUGUAUGUUUUGGACUGCGCAUAUUCAGUGAGCUUUU